CAGCCGGCCUCCAUGGUUUCUGAUGAGAAAUUCGCUGUCAUUUGACUUGCUAAUCCAUGAUAGUUAAGAUGUGAAUGAACUGAAGGAGUCUCUUUCUGUGCUGGUUAAAGAGCAGCAGGCCCUGGCCGUCCAGUCAGCCACCACCACCCUCUCAGCCCUGCGACUCAAGCAGAGGCUGGUAAUCUUGGAGCACUGUUUCAUUGCCUUGAACUGUUUUUCAGGAGAAUGUCAAAGUUAAGUGGAAAAGCAGCAGCAUUUCUCUGCCUCCUGUGGACAAAAAAAGGUAAUAUAAAGCGAAGAAAGAAUCCUAAUGGGCCGGGCGCGGUGGCUCACGCCUGUAAUCCCAGCACUUUGGGAGGCCGAGGCAGGCGGAUCACCAGGUCAGGAGAUUGAGACCAUCCUGGCUAACAUGGUGAAACCCUGUCUCUACUAAAAAUACAAAAAAAUUAGCCAGGCGUGGUGGCGGGCGCCUGUAGUCCCACCUACUAGGGAGGCUGAGGCAGGAGAAUGGCAUGAACCCGGGAGGCGGAGCUUGCAGUGAGCUGAGAUCCGUGUUACUGCACUCCAGCCUGGGCGACAGAGCAAGACUCCGUCUCAAAAAAAAAAAAAAGAAUCCUAAUGCCAGUCAAAUAUAAAAUUCAGACUGUUUUGUUUCAGAAAGUUUAAUUAAGAUUUUCAAUAUAGUGUCUGUCUUCACCUUCUGAAAUUUAUUCUUGCUUUCCCUUUUUGUAUGUUUUAUGUAAUCUGGAGGAUGGAUUUGCCAAUUUGCUCAUGUAGUAACAGACCAUACUAUGUAAUCUCUGUCAUUAUUUAUUUUAUUCAAUUAAAUUUUUUUGUUUCUUUUAUUUUUUAUUUUUUAUUUUUUUAGAGGCAACGUCUUGCACUGUCACCCAGGCUGGGGUGCAGUGGUGUAAUCAUAGCUCAUUCUAACCUUGAACUCCGGGUCUCUAGUGAUCCUCCUGCCUCAGCCACCUGAGUAGCUGGGACUACAGGCACAUGAAACCAUGCCUGGCUAAAUAAAAAUAAUUUGUAUGUGUGUGUGUGUGCAUGGAGAUGGGGUCUUGCUCCUGGCCUCAAGCAAUCUUCUUGCUUCAACCUCUCAGAGUACUGGGAUUACAGGUGUGAGACACUGCGCCUGGCUCUGUGUCAUUAUUUUAAAGACCUUUUUCUGUCAGUAACUGUGGAAGCCAGCCAAAGCUGUAAAUCAGCUCAAGUAUAAAUUUGAAAAUGAGUUCUGAACAUUGUGCACGUUUUAUUUUGUUUUGCUGCUGGGUAAGGAGAUAGAUUGUAAUGUUUAGUGCCCAUCUAGUUUAGAUGCUUCAUGUUUUUCCUUCCUAAUGUGAUUUUCUUAUUCUUUUAUUACAAGAGAUGCUUUUGGGCCAGGCGCGAUAGCUCACACCUGUAAUCCCAGCACUUUGGGAGGCCGAGGCAGGUAGAUCACCUGAGGUCGGGAGUUCGAGAUCUGACCAAUAUGGAGAAACCCCGUCUCUACUAAAAAUAAAAAAAUUAGCCAGGACGUGGUGGCGCAUGCCUGUAAUCUCAGCUACUUGGGAGGGUGAGGUAGGAGAAUUGCUUGAACUGGGGAGGUGGAGGUUGCCGUGAGCAGAGAUUAUGCCAUUGGACUCCAGCCUAGGCAACAGGAAUGAAACCUGUCUCAAAAAGAAAAAAAAAAAAGUGGGGAUGCUUGGAUGCUUUUGUGCAUAUGAGUUUUAAUUUGUUGAUGCCUGAUAAUAUAUUACAGAUUUCCUCUUAUUUGCUAACAGCCACUAGAAUGUUUAAAGCGCAUGUAAAAUUGUACUUUUCCAAAAUGAAGCUGUCUGUCAGACUUUUGUCCUCAGAAGGUUAAACUACAAGAUUGCCAGAUGAAACUAUAUUUUGUGUAGUUAGGAGUGUUGGCUUUAUUUGACUGUGAUAGUGACUUUGACUCCCUGGAGAGCACACAGAAAGUACAGGAGGCAGAAAGAAACAAGAGCAAAGCCCUGAUCGUCUUGCUCCCCAGAGACAGGAGCAAUACUUGUAGCCUGUUGCCUUGUUUUCUUACGUUUUAAUUUUUGUGUUUGUUUUCCUUUUUUGUUUCCUUAUGUUUAAAUAUAGUUGAAAUCACAUUACAGUUGGCGCUCUGUAUCUGUGGGUUUCACAUCCCACAGAUGUGGAUCGAAAAUAUUGGAAGAAAAGCAAUAAAAAACAACACAACAAUUAAAAAAUACAAUUAACAAUACAAUAUAACAACCAAUUACAGAGCAUUUACCUUGUAUUAGGUGUUAAUCUAGAGAUGAUUUUGUUUGUUGGUUUGUUUUGACAUGGGGGUGUCACUGUUGCCCAGGGCAGUGGGGCUAUCAUGGCUCCCUGCAGCCUUGACCUCCUGGGCUCAAGUGAUUCUCCCACCUUAGCCUCCCCAGUAGCUGGGACUGCAGGCGUGUGCCACAAUACCUGGCUAAUUUUUGUAUUUUUUGUAGAGCUGGGGUCUCACUGUGUUGCUCAGGCUGGCCUCUAACUCCUGGCCUCGAGUGAUCUGCCUGCCUUGGCCUCCCAAAGUGCUGGGAUUACAAGCAUGAGCCACCAUAUCUGGCCAAUUUUUUUUUUUUUUUAAUUUGUAUAGAUGGGGUUUUGCCAUGUUGCCCAGGCUGGUCUUGAACCCCUGGGCUCAAGCGACCCUCCCGUCUCGACCUCCGAAAGCGUUGGGAUUAUAGGUGUGAGCCGCUGUGCCUGGCCGAGAUGAUUUAAAUUAUACGGGAGGAUGUGUACAGCUUAUAUGCAAAUACUACACCAUUUUAUAUCAGGGUCUUGAGCAUCCUAGGGUUUUGGUAUGGAGCCAGGGGUGGGGCAGGCCUGGUACCAAUCCCCUGCUGAUACCAAGGGACAACUGUACAUGUUGUGUUUUUGAAAAUAGUUUUAGAGUAAAACCAAGAGACAGAUGAGAUUCCUACCCAUUUGGUAACAGGAGUGCCAUGGUUCUUUCCUUCCUUCCUGACUGGCUGUGAUGGUCAUGAAUCAGAGUGUUAUGUACAGGUGCGCGGCAGAUGCUAAGAUUGUCCAAGCACUGUUGUGUGUUUGUUGAAUCAAACUGAAUUCCCUCAGCUGCAGAAAUGGCUGAGAGCCCAGCUGAUUUUUCUCUGCGCUGUUUCCUUUGUGAUGACAUAGGGUUGAUGGAUUAAUUGGAAUAUAGCUUUCAUUAAUUGGAAGAAUUCCUAAAAUUUAAAAAAAAAAGCCUUUUUUUGAGAUAAGUGGAUUCACAUACAGUUGUAAGAAAUAGUAUAGAGAUUCUUUUAUUGUUCGCCCCAUUGCCCUCAAUGGUAGCUAGUUGCAAACUAUGACACAGUCAUCAGAACUAGGGUAUUUACUUUGAUAGUCUGCCUAUCUUAUUCAGGUUUUCCCAGUUUUACAUGCUCUCAAUUGCAUGUGUAUUUCUUUGCAGUUUUUUCAUGUGUGGAUUUUCUGAGACCUCCACUGCAAUCAGGGUACAUGGACAAGGGCCCUUUAUACCCACAUUCACGUCUUCUCUCCCCACCCUACCUGCUGGCAACCACUUAUCUGUUCUUUGUGUCUAUUAUGUGAUUUUUUGACAUUGGAUUUUUAAUUUUUUAUUAUUGUUAUUACUGUAAUUUUUGGAGACAGGGUCUCACCCUGAUGCCCAGGCUGGAGUGCAGUGAUAUAGUCAUAGCUCACUGCAGCCUCAAACUUCUGGGCUCAAGCAGUCCUCUCAUUUCAGCUUCCUGAGUAGCUGGGACCUCAGAUGCAUGACACCACACCCAGCUAAUUUUGUAUUUGUAGAGAAUGGGGUCUUGUUAUGUUUCCCAGGCUUGUCUUGAACUCCUGGCCUCAAGCAAGACUGACUUUUUUCACUUAGCAUAAUCCCCUUGAUAUUUUCCCAAGGAGGUUGUUGCAUGUAUCAUUAUUGCUGAGUAGUGAUUUUUUUUUUUUUUUUUUUUUUUGGAGACAGAGUCUCGCUUUGUCACCCAGGCCAGGCUGGGGUGCAGUGGCACGAUCUUGGCUCACUGCAACCUCCACCUCCCAGGUUCGAGUAAUUCUGCCACAGCCUCCCAAGUAGUUGGGACUACAGGCAUGCAGCACCACGCCUGGCUAAUUUUUGUAUAUUUAGUAGAGACGGGGUUUUGCCAUGCCGGCCAAGCUGGUCUCAAACUCUUGACCUAAAGUGACUCACCCACCUCCUCUGACCACACUCGGCCCAUGUGCUUUCUCUUUAAGGACUGUGUGUCCUGUUACAUGUCUGUGUCUUGUCAUGUUCAUAUUUCUCAUUUAGGAUUCGGGAGCAAAGAUUUCCGUCUUCCAGGUACCCAGUGCCCUUCUCAGAGGUUCUUGUGUUUCUUGUCUGAGCUCUCGGUGCAUUAUUCAGGCACUUGUGGAUAAGUGUGUACCGUUGCCCCGGCCAGCCAGCCGUGUUCUUCUUUGCCAUUUUUAUUACACAUUGUAUCUUGGGGAGAUCCUUCCAUAACAUCCCUGUUUGUUGCGUGUGUGUGUGUGUGUGUGUGUUUUUUUUUUUUUUUUUUUUUUCUUGAGAUGGAGUCUUGCUCUGCUUCCCAGGCUGGAGUGCAGUGGUACGAUCUUGGCUCACUGCAGCCUCCGCCUCCCAGGUUCAAGUGAUUUGCCUGCCUCAGCCUCCGAGUAGCUGGGAUUACAGGCAUGCCACCACCACACCUGGCUACUUUUUGUAUUUUUAGUGGAGACAAGGUUUUGUCAUGUUGGCCAGGCUGGUCUUGAACUCCAUAUCACCUGUUUUUAUAGCGUAUCCCCUGAUCAUGAAAGCAAAUUUUAGUAAAUUUGGAGUAUAUAGUCUAUAGUAGCAAUACUAUAAUAUAUAUGUAUUAGAAAUAUGACACAGUAUAAAGUAUAAAAUACAAUACUUUCUAUGCAUGA